UACGAGGGGGGCAAGCGUUUGUCCGGGAAUUAUUGGGCGUAAAGAGCUCGUAGGUGGCCUGUCGCCGGUCGGCCUGUGAAAACUCGGGGCUCAACUCCGAGCUUGCAGUCGAGUACGGGCAGGCUAGAGUUCGGCAGGGGAGACUGGAAUUCCUGGUGUAGCGGUGAAAUGCGCAGAUAUCAGGAGGAACACCGGUGGCGAAGGCGGGUCUCGUGGGCCGAUGACUGACACUGGAUGCGCGACAGCAGUGGGGAGCAAACGAGG
rnacentral:rRNA from 1 species